rnacentral:misc_RNA from 1 species
GAUGAAGAACGUAGUGAAAUGCGAUAAGUAAUGUGAAUUGCAGAAUUCAGUGAAUCAUCGAAUCUUUGAACGCACAUUGCGCCCCUUGGUAUUCCGGGGGGCAUGCCUCUUCCAGCGUCAUUUCACCCCUCAAGCUCUGCUUGGUUUUGGGCCGCGCCGGCAACGGCGGGCCUCGAAAAUAGUGGCGACGCCAUCGUGCUCUCAGCGUAGUAAUUCUUCUCGCUGUUGGGUCCCGGUGGUCGUCCGCCAGCAACCCCCAACUUUCUUAUGUUUGACCUGGGAUGAGGUAGGGAUACCCGCUGAACUUAAGCAUAUCAAUAAGCGGAGGA